CGUCCAUGUCCAGACUUUUGUUGAAAGGUUUUCCCGAGGUCUUCAAGCUGAGUACAGAUCGAAAGGAAUCAUAAUUCAGACGGUGACUCCUUUUGGGGUGUCCACAGCGAUGACGGGCUACCAGAAGCCCAACAUGAUCACGUUUACUGCGGAGGAUUUCGUACGGACGUCUCUGAACUUUGUUGCAGCCGGAGACCAAACGCACGGGAGCGUCUCUCACCAAAUCCUGCCCCGCCCCGCUCCCCGCCUGGUCCCCGCCCAC